UGUAAUUUACCCAGAGUCUGGGAGAUUUUUGUGUCUGAGGGCAACUCAGAAGACCCAUUCCAUCAAGCUACUCUGAACAUGGCUUUAUAUUUCAGACACAACGGAGUCAACGUGGAUGGUGAGGAGCCCUGUGGUCAAGAGUGGGAUGAGACAUCUUCAAGAUGUCAUUUGGAACCAAAAUUAGAGACAAAUGUGUCCCCUGUCUCCUUUCUGGAAGCACAGCCUCCUCAAAGCAGCUAUGCUUAAUUCAGAUACAAAGCCCUUAUCCCUCCCGGGUCCACCUGCAGCCCCGCCGCUUUCAUCAUUUCUCCCUGGAAUUCAUUCGGAUCAUAGUCGUUUUCAAGGGACAGUCAAUUCUCAUGGAAGGCUUUCACCAACUCUUGCCGGUCUUGUAUAAGGAGCCAACUAGAACUGCAGCAGAUGAAUGAGAGUUCUGCUGCACUCGCUCCUUCCAGGGAGCGCCAGAGGACUGGAAGGGGAAAGGUACGA
rnacentral:lncRNA from 1 species